rnacentral:tRNA from 1 species
GGCCGGCGACCCGCAGGCCGCGUGGGCGUCCCUGGAGCGGGCGCUACGGGUCCUCGAUCCGCCCGAGGCGCCGGCCG